AGUGAACGCUGGCGGCGUGCUUAACACAUGCAAGUCGAACGAGAACGGAUUAUAGCUUGCUAUAAUUGUCAGCUAAGUGGCGCACGGGUGAGUAAUGUAUAGGUAAUAUGCCUCUUACUAAGGGAUAACAAAUGGAAACGUUUGCUAAUACCUUAUACUCCUUAUUAACAUAAGUUAAUAAGGGAAAGAUUUAUUGGUAAGAGAUUAGCCUGUAUUGUAUCAGUUAGUUGGUGGGGUAAUGGCUUACCAAGACUAUGACACAUGACUGGUUUGAGAGGAUGAUCGGUCACACUGGAACUGAGACACGGUCCAGACUCCUACGGGAGGCAGCAGCGGGGAAUAUUGCACAAUGGACGAAAGUCUGAUGCAGCAACGCCGUGUGGAGGAUGACACAUUUCGGUGCGUAAACUCCUUUUAUAUGAGAAGAUAAUGACGGUAUUAUAUGAAUAAGCACCGGCUAACUCCGUGCCAGCAGCCGCCGUAA
rnacentral:rRNA from 1 species